CCUACGGGAGGCAGCAGUGGGGAAUAUUGGACAAUGGGGGGAACCCUGAUCCAGCCAUGCCGCGUGUGUGAAGAAGGCCCUCGGGUUGUAAAGCACUUUCAGUGAGGAAGAACGCCUGGUGGUUAAUACCCAUCAGGAAAGACAUCACUCACAGAAGUAGCACCGGCUAACUCCGUGCCAGCAGCCGCGGUAAUACGGAGGGUGCGAGCGUUAAUCGGAAUUACUGGGCGUAAAGCGCGCGUAGGUGGCUUGAUAAGCCGGUUGUGAAAGCCCCGGGCUCAACCUGGGAACGGCAUCCGGAACUGUCAAGCUAGAGUGCAGGAGAGGAAGGUAGAAUUCCCGGUGUAGCGGUGAAAUGCGUAGAGAUCGGGAGGAAUACCAGUGGCGAAGGCGGCCUUCUGGACUGACACUGACACUGAGGUGCGAAAGCGUGGGUAGCAAACAGGAUUAGAUACCCGAGUAGUC
rnacentral:rRNA from 1 species